rnacentral:tRNA from 1 species
UAAUAUACUGGUCUUGUAAACCAGAAAAGAGACAACCAACCUCCCUAAGACU